rnacentral:lncRNA from 1 species
GGGACACCUGGGGACACUGAGCUGGUGCUGAGUUACUGAGAUGAACCAGCCCUGCAGCUGUGCCCAGCCUGCCUUGCCCCCUGCUAAUUUGCAUGUUCCCAGAGCACAUCCUCCUACCCUGAAGACUUAUUAAUGCGCUGGUCACACUUCAUGCAGGAGUCAGACCCAGUCAGGACACAGCAUGGACAUGAGGGUGCCCGCUCAGCGCCUGGGGCUCCUGCUGCUCUGGUUCCCAGGUGCCAGAUGUGCCAUCCGGAUGACCCAGUCUCCAUUCUCCCUGUCUGCAUCUGUAGGAGACAGAGUCACCAUCACUUGCUGGGCCAGUCAGGGCAUUAGCAGUUAUUUAGCCUGGUAUCAGCAAAAACCAGCAAAAGCCCCUAAGCUCUUCAUCUAUUAUGCAUCCAGUUUGCAAAGUGGGGUCCCAUCAAGGUUCAGCGGCAGUGGAUCUGGGACGGAUUACACUCUCACCAUCAGCAGCCUGCAGCCUGAAGAUUUUGCAACUUAUUACUGUCAACAGUAUUAUAGUACCCCU